AUACUUACCUGGUAUAGGUGCAACGGUGAUCACUGCGGCCGUUCUCCCAGGUUGAGGAUUACUCAUUGCACUUCGGGUGGGCUGAAGCCUGCGAUCACUCCAAAUGUGGGUGACUCUGGUGCGUAAUUUUUGCGUAUGGGGAUCUGCGUUCGCGCUAAUCCCUG
rnacentral:snRNA from 1 species